AUCUUUGUGCUUGGGCCAAUGAUGCAGCUAGUGAGGUAUUAACCGAGGCACGUCUAUUGCUGGUUGAAAACAAUUUUCAAACCCCCUCUUAGCAUUUAUUUCCCUAAAG
rnacentral:snRNA from 2 species